rnacentral:rRNA from 1 species
AUGUAUAGAGAUAUACAUUACCUAUAUAGGAGCGAACGAGGGGAAUUGAAACAUCUUAGUACCCUCAGGAAAAGAAAUCAAUAGAGAUUGCGUCAGUAGCGGCGAGCGAAAGCGCAAGAGGGCAAACCCAGUGCUUGCACUGGGGGUUGUAGGACUGCAAUGUGCAAGAGGUGAGUUUAGCAGAACAUUCUGGAAAGUAUAGCCAUAGAGGGUGAUAGUCCCGUAUGCGAAAAACAAACCUUAGCUAGCAGUAUCCUGAGUAGGGCGGGACACGAGAAAUCCUGUCUGAAGCUGGGUCGACCACGAUCCAACCCUAAAUACUAAUACCAGAUCGAUAGUGCACAAGUACCGUGAGGGAAAGGUGAAAAGAACUGAGGUGAUCAGAGUGAAAUAGAACCUGAAACCAUUUGCUUACAAUCAUUCAGAGCCCUAUGUAGCAAUACAGGGUGAUGGACUGCCUUUUGCAUAAUGAGCCUGCGAGUUGUGGUGUCUGGCAAGGUUAAGCAAACGCGAAGCCGUAGCGAAAGCGAGUCUGAAUAGGGCGCUUAGUCAGAUGCUGCAGACCCGAAACGAAGUGAUCUAUCCAUGAGCAAGUUGAAGCUAGUGUAAGAACUAGUGGAGGACUGAACCCAUAGGCGUUGAAAAGCCCCGGGAUGACUUGUGGAUAGGGGUGAAAGGCC